rnacentral:rRNA from 1 species
GAAUCGCGUCUGAAAUCAGUCGAGCGGUCCGGCAGGCUUUGGUCUGCUGGACAGCGGCGAACGGUCGAGUAACACGUAAAGAACCUGCCCUCAGGACCGGGAUAGCCCUGCGAAAGCGGGAGUAAUACCGGAUACAGUGUGAGGGGGGCAUCCCUCUCACAUGAAAGGGAGCGAUCCGCCUGAGGAGGGCUUUGCGGCCUAUCAGCUAGUUGGUAGGGUAACGGCCUACCAAGGCGACGACGGGUAGCUGGUCUGAGAGGACGGACAGCCGGACUGGGACUGAGACACGGCCCAGACUCCUACGGGAGGCAGCAAUCAGGAAUCUUGCGCAAUGGGCGAAAGCCUGACGCAGCGACGCCGCGUGGGGGAAGAAGUCCUUCGGGACGUAAACCCCUUUUCACCGGGAAGAGUAAGGACGGUACCGGUGGAAUAAGCCCCGGCCAACUACGUGCCAGCAGCCGCGGUAAUACGUAGGGGGCGAGCGUUGUCCGGAUUCACUGGGCGUAAAGGGCGCGUAGGCGGCUGGCUAAGUCAGCAGUAAAAUUCACAGGCUCAACCUGUGAAGGACUGUUGAAACUGGCCGGCUUGAGUGCAGGAGAGGGGAGUGGAAUUCCGGGUGUAGCGGUGGAAUGCGUAGAUAUCCGGAGGAACACCCGUGGCGAAGGCGGCUCCCUGGCCUGCCACUGACGCUGAGGCGCGAAAGCUGGGGGAGCGAACGGGAUUAGAUACCCCGGUAGUCCCA